UUUCAUAUAAAAUCAUCAGAUUUGAUAGCAAUUGGUACUCUCACUUUCCCUUCUCUUAUGGCCAACAAAUCCACAUUAUCACCAUAUAAGUAAGCUUUCAAGAAUGCAACCAUAACUCCUCCAACAAACGUUCUCAUAGGUUUCCUUGAUUCACCAUUCUUACAUAAACAAUAAGUAAGUUUCCCUCUAAAACCUGGGGUAUAAUCAUCCAACAUGUCAAAAUGACCAUAAUCCUUAGCCAAAAAAUACCAAGAAGGUUUCUCACAUUCACUAAAAAAAUCCUCAUGAUUGAUGCCUUUAGGUGCACAAGGAGGAAACAAAAGGUUCUUUCUCACAUCACCUAAACUAGAACCAAUAACCAAUGUUGGCAUAUCAAAAUCAAAUGAAUGAGGAACAUAGGUGAGAAUUGGUGGUGAUGUUUGUAUUCCUUCACCUAAUCCAUCUACUGGAUCAAUUCCAAGUAUGGCUGAAAAUUUUAGAUCAAUUGUGAUGUUUAAUUUUCUUAGAGCAAUAGCAAAUGAUGUUUUUCCGCCGCGACUAUGGCCUCCAAGUGCUAACUUGUUAAAAUUUGGUGUUAUGUUUGGUGGAAGAAACUUGUUUAGUCCUUCAGAUAGCCAACUUGUUAUUGCAGCUACUGAGUAAAUAUCAUCGUAUAUAUCUGGUCCAGUCACUAUAUACAACUGAGAAAAACAAAAGUUAAACCAAAAUAUAAUUGUUUGAAAAAAUGUGGUUGCAAGUAUUAGUAUUUUAUAAGCAUUAUUCAAAUACUAUUUGUAUUAACAUUGCAUGAAACUAUAAACCAUGAAACAUGUCAACAAGAAAAUACAUUUUUAUAAAUAUAUAAUCUAACAUUUAUAACGUCUUAGUUACUACAAUUUAUCUUUAUAUAUUAGUAGAAAAAUAUGAUCAAAACAUGUUACGUGAAUAAUGCACAUUUUUAAAAUAGGUCAUUUAAAAUAGCAAAGAUGGAGUAUUACAAUUUAUAUGCUAACAUUUGAGUGGUGAUAUACUUUGAUCUAUUUUCAUUUUCAUAUAUGAUGGUGAUUUGCUUUUAAUCCUCAUAAUAUUAGUAUGCUCCUAACAAGUCUUUUAAUGAUUAUAUGUCAUUGAUUCACAUCCUUGCCAGAUGGUCUUUAUAAAGAUGAAUUAUUCUAGAAGUGCUUCUUGUAAACAAGAUGAUACUUACAUAUUAAAAUGUCAGGUGGGGAUUAAUUACCUGAGGAGCAAUGACAAUGAAGCCAUGAGAAGCCACAUGUUGGAUAAGCUGAGAAUAAAAUGAGUUGUAGAGAAGAUAUGCAUGUAGGAAAAGUAGAAGUGGAAAUUCUCCACCUUCAAUAGGUGUGGCAAUCAAAAGAGAUCUUGGUGGUGGAACUGAUCAACAUAUAAAAAAAUUAGUAGUAUACAUGAACUAUAUGAGAGAAAAAUAUCCAAAAACAAUUAUAGUUAAUUAAUAGAAAAGUUAAUUAAAGUAGUACCAUAUUGUGUAUAUGAACCAGAGCCAACCAUUUGUAGUUGUGUGGUGUAUUUUCCGGUCUCAAAGACAUUAGUAACAAAAGAAGACAUACUUGAUGGUUGAGCUUAGUGUUGCUUGUGGCUGAAUAAUAUAUGAUGAUCUGGUGUGGCAUUUAUAUAUUCUUGUUUAAUUGUAUAUUUUGUUUUUUUUUAUUACUUUUUGAAUAGAAUGUAAAGUGAUCUUGGUGAUUAAUUUGUUUUGGUCAAUAUGUUAGUGAUAUUAAAUACAUUCUAUGUUCACUAUUAUAAAAAAAUAAUCAGAUUUAUCGAAUAAAUGAUGUAUCUAAUCUAUAUUAUAGAUCAAAUAUAUCAGUUAUUCCAUAAAUCUAAAAAUAAAAUUGUUUAUAAUAAUGAUCGGAGUUUAUACAUUUUUAUGUUGGUUUAUAGCACUAUUUCCGUCUCACUAUAUGUGUCACAUUUGAGUUUUAUAUGGUUAUUAAGGAAAUGAUUAAUAGUGUUGAUUUUAAUGGUAAAAUAUGUAUUAUUUACUAAAAAAACUUUUAUUAAAUAUAGUUAGUAGAAAAAUAUAAUAAAUGUUAUAUUGUUAUUAUAAAAAAGAUAGAUAAUUUAAAAAAAAAAAAAAAAAAAAGAGCACCUAUUGUAAGAAGAUUUUGGAGGCCAUGAAUGAAUGCCUAAGUAGAAUAUACAGAUGUCACCCAAUUUCAUUAAUAUUAGGACCUAAUUUUUACAUGUGUAAAUUGGGAACCGAGAAUGUUAGAGAUUUGAGCCUGAAAAUAAAUACAACAACAUGAAUUGAAUUGUUAUAAAAGCAAGUUGUUGGGUUUGACAUUAAUAUUUUGUUUUGUUUGUAGAUAAAAUGACAAUCAGUAUUUGAAACUCACACAAUGAAAAUUAUGGAAAUGUUAAAGAGUGUUCUUAGGACAUCGAUUAAGAGCACAAGAAUUAAAAUAUUGUAUUGAGAAAUGGUGAAAAGUAAUAAAGUUGAUUUUUUAAAAGUUAAAAAAUUAUUGAAUUCAAUGCAAACUUACUAAUUUGAUAUUCUUAACAAGUGUCUGAGGACAUCCGUUAACAUAACCUUUAAAAUUAAAUGAAAUAAAGUAAAAAUAUGCACAUUAUGGUUUCAAGUUCUCUCUACAAGCUACGCUGGAUUGGAUAGUAUAAUAUUUAGCUAGAAUAUUUUAUAACAUAAAUUAUUUCCAUAAGAAAUUUCAAACGCUUGAAUUUAAUGGUUAAUAAAUUUCAGAUAAGGAAGAAUCGAUCAAAACAGUAUGAAUUUAAAUUUUAGCUAAAAUAAUUUUUGAUCAAAUAUAACUUUGUUAUUAUUGUAUUCUAGAUUACUAGAACUCUUGAGAAUCGGAAAGUCAAGAAAGAAAAGUAAAAUAAAAUUAUAAGUUUUAUAUGUUUAUAUCAAAGUAUCCCCUUAAUUUGUAAUGGAUGCACAAACAUAUUUCUAGUAUUUUAUAUGUGAUGACAAAUGCUAAAAGUAUGUUGCCUAAGAAAUUAUAUAAUGAUUAUUAUUUUUUAGAGUUAAAUAUAUUUUUAAUCGUUCUAAAUAUAUUAACUUUUAUUUCUACUUCUUUUAAAAAUUUAUUUCAAACAUUGAUUUCUCUAAAUUACACUUACAAAUUUUAGUUUCUUCUUAGAAAUUUUAGUUUCUUCUUUUUAACAUAAGUUUAGUGACAUAUUUAUAGCGACUUUGUUUAUGUUAUGUCACUAUUGAAAUUUUAAAAUAUUAUUCGCUUAAUGAGUUCAAUAUUUAAUCUUUAACUUCAUAUUUUAAUCUUUAAUUUGACUUUACGGAUAAAUUAAUAAUGAAUAACUAGUUAAAUUAUUAAAUUAAUGAUAUUUGAAAGUCUUAACAAUGACAUGUCAUCAAAAAAAUGCUUGGAACAUAUCACGAGAACUUUUGUUAAAAUAAAGGGAUUAAAUUUGGUAAUAGAAAAACUAGAAGGAACAAAGUUUAAAAAAAAAAAAAAAAAACGAAAAAUGAAAAUUGAUAUAUUUUGCAUGUGUCGUGAUCACUACAAAAUCAUAUUUAAAGAUGUGUGUAGGCUUUUGUCAGGGGUAGAUGGGUUUUAAAUAUGGAGGAUAACUCUUGUUGUAAUUGAUAGGUACUCCAUCCGGUUCUAAAUAUAAUAAAAUAUAUUUUUUCUAUGUUCAUUGAAUAAUUUGUGUAUCUUUUUAUUAGGGAAAUAACUCAUGGAUUUAUAGAUCAGAUACAUCAAUUAUUUAAUGAACAUGAAAAAGAAUAAUUUUUUAUAUUUAGGAUCAGAUAGAGUACCAUAUAGCAACCAAAUAUGUCUUCUUUUUGCAUUUGUUGUUGUUGAAUUGAAAAGCAUAUAUAGUUAGAGGUGAUUUCUUACCAUCUUAUUAAGGACGUUGUGGUUUUAUUUGAGGUUUUCUUUUUUUUUUUUUCUGGAAAAUUUUGUUCAACUUCAAAAAAUUUGUUAAAAUUGCAAAACUUAUCCAUAUUCGAUCAAAUUUACCUUUAGUCUAAACGUACACCUAAAGUUAAAGAAAAGUGGAUUCUCACGGAAGAACAAAACGAAAAACAAUGAAGAGAGUUUUCGUUUUUGUAAAAAAAAAAAUGUAGUAAUAAAGUUUGAUUGGAGGUUGAAAUUGACAAAUCAAAAUAAUAUUGUAGUUAUCUUAAGAAUAAUUUAUGUGUAUUAAUAUAAUAUAAUAUAAUAUUAUAAUAAUAAUAAUAUGAUGAUGAUGAUUAAAUUUGUUUGUAAUUAAAAAUAACUAUCAUGUUAGCUGAAUCCGUAGAUAGGUGAUUUAGGAAUAUGUGAGUUUCACACUACCUGAUGAAAAGUUAGGCGAAUACUAGUUCGAUCAAAUAAGGGUUAGCUGAUUUUUUUUCUCUCGUCCACUAUAUAGGAUGUUGGUCUUGAAAACAUAAGAUUUAGUCAAACCUUAGUAUAAUUUGACAAUGAGGCACUCAACCCAUGCUUCAUGUUUAUAGUGCCUCUAACCUUAAGGAGCAAUAGGCAAGGAUACAUAUUUUAAAGGAGGUUGCGCACAAUGCAAGUGUUGAACCAUGGUCAAAUAACCAAAAUCCAAUGAUUUAAACAACUAUGCCUACAACUGACAAGUCCGAAUAUGUUCAAAACAAAUACAUAUACAUUAAGCAAAUGGCCCUCUCAUUGAUUUAUUUCUGACUCCGCCACUGUAUGAACCUUUGCAUUAGUAUAAAGUUAGGUGUACCUUGUUAUCCCAAUUUAAUAAAAAAAAAUAAAAAAUCCUUUUGUAAGACUUUGAUUCAAUUAAAAUGUUUGCCUUGCACUUUUUAAUCAAAAUAUUUUGUGGUCUCGGGUGUUCAUGCAAAGCUUUUUGAUUCGAUUCAAAUGUCUGCCUUGCAAAAUUUGAAUCGACUCAUUGUGACCUUCGGAUGUCUAUUUCUUGUUUAUUGAAUCAUAUCAAAACUUUUUGAAUAGUAUCACUUCAGGAAACACUGAAUCGAUUCAAUUUUUUCUUGAUUCAAUUCAUUCUUCAUCUAGAAUUGCCUAAAAUCGAUUCUUUUUUUUUUUGUUGUCUAUUAUGUCAAUCUUCAUGUCAACCCAACAUCUUUAUUUUGCACUAUUGAAUCGAUUCAAGCUUUUCUUGAUUUGAUUCAAACACAUUUUUUUUUAGUUAUAUUUUUAGCCUAACUUACUCCUAUCUCAUUACCCUAUAUAUACUUGCAUUCACUCAUUUUCUCAUUUUCUCAUUUAUAGAAUUGAUUUGCAAAAACACUCUAAAGUCUCCCACACCUCUCUUUCUCUCUCUCAUCCUAGCUCCCUCUUCUCUUAUGCAUUGUAAAACUGGUAUUAACAAGUUAGUAGUGUUUUUUGUGUGAUAAGAUAAUCUUAAAAUAUUUAGGACCAGUUAGAAAUUUCAAAGUUAGGAUAGAUUUAGCGUGUUAAGAUAAACUUAAAGAAUCUUUGACGAUGUUUGCCAACAAUCAUUUUAACUUAGUUUUCAGCGGUCUUGAAAAAGAUGUUUGAAACGAAAAAUAUUUUGAAGAUUUAUUUGUAGAGUAAAAAAAAAAUUGUUUUAAACUCUUUAAGAUCUCUUUGGAAAACUAAAAGUAUUUAAUAAAAAUGUUUUAUUAGUUUUGAACUUAAAAGUAUUUAAUAGAAAGUCUUACAUUGUAUUAAAAAUCUAUCUAUAAGUGUAUUUGAGUCUUCACAUUUACCAUGAUGAUCCUCUCUUACUCAAACAUCAUGAAAGUAAAAAUGACACCAUUUAUAUCUUGCAAAAACUCUUUAAAUAUAAAAAAAGUUAAAAAAUAUUUCUAUAUUUUUAAUUUGAAAUUAACUAAAAUGAAAGUAAAAUAACACCAUUCACAUCUUGAAACAUAAAGUUCUUAUAUACAUGUAAAAUGUGUAGAGAUGGUUAUUGCCUCAUUAGUUGAUUUACAUCAUCUUCUCUUAUUUUCAUACAAAAUAAUCAAAUUUCAUCUCAAUGGGUACACUCAAAUUUUUGUCUCUUAUAGCCAAUAAGUCCACAUUAUCACCAUGCAAAUAAGCUUUCAAGAAUGCAACCAUAACUCCUCCAACAAACAUCCUCAUAGGUUUCCUUGAUUCACCAUUCUUACAUAAACAAUAACUAACUUUCCCUCUAACUCCUUUAGUAUCAUCAUCCAACAUAUCAACAUGACCAUAAUCCUUAGCCACAAAAUACCAAGAAGGUUUCUCACAUUCACUAAAAAAAUCC
rnacentral:lncRNA from 1 species